AAAAGCUAAGCGACGCGUUCACUCGGUCUCAUUCUUCUGCGGCGCGUCAAGAGUAGAGCAGGUCCAGUAUCCUGAGGACUGAUAAACGCGGGAGACGGCUGGAAUCGAGUGGAUCUGGAACAGCAGUGUGUCCAAGGAUUGUGUUGUGAAUCUGGGAAGCUGUAUCAAAGGAACGUGCAGUUGAAUUGAAAGGUUUAAGAUGUUUGCACGAGAGCUGAAGAUGCCAUCAGCUGACCACGCAGGAGUUCAACUGGGGAGCUAGCAUGUCUGGCUAUGGGAGAAUCUGCAGCUGUCUGAAUGUUUUUCAGGGCCUUCUGACCAGCAUGAUGUGCUGAUGAGUCACCGCGUCUGCUCAUUGACUGGUAUGGUGGUGACCCCCUGGGUCGUGCCAUGGGAGUAUGAGGUGUGCAUUUUUUUUUUUUUUUAAAGGGAGCUCAAGAUCAUCCAGGAUGGCUCGGAAACAUCAUUGUAGUAUAAGAAUGACUUCUGAAUGGUGUUCCAGGGCUUCAAUUCUUGUACCUCUGAUUUUUGUAGUCUCUUUGAAGCAAUUUAAAAUGACUUUCAGAUCCAUUAUCUGCAUCUGUUGCAACUAUGCAAAGUUUGUAAAAUCUUGUCAAUAAAGUGGUGAAAU